UGCGUUGUGUCGUGCCGCGUAGCGCGUGCCUCAAGAAAUCAAAGGCGAUUUGUACGGAAUCAUGGCGGCAGGAAAUUGGCAUGUUAUUUUAGUUGCGGUCGUUGUCGCGAACUUUGGCUGAUUGGCUAAGCUACAAGCUGGUGAAUAAGUAAUUGCUACGACAUUACAGCUUAGCACCGCACCCGUGAUAAAGCUGACGGCUGACUGCGCAUGUGUGCCCGCAGACCUUAACUAUCGCCAGCCAGCAAAGACACUCAAUCCAACGUUGGGUAGGCCAUCUCAUAAAAGUCUGAAGGGCAGACUCGAGUCUCAAUUGCUGUUACCUUGAAAUUUGGCG